rfam:Polynucleobacter necessarius STIR1, complete sequence
CUGACGAUUUAAAAUGAAAGACUCGCCUCAUUGGCAAUAGGUGCGCUAAAAGUGACUUGCAAAAUGUGGAUUUGAGAGUGACAGGGUAAAAAAACCUGACUCUGUAAUUUUUACAAUAUUGAGG